GCCCACAUAGCUCAGUCGGUAGAGCACGUCAUUGGUAAUGACGAGGUCACCGGUUCAAUUCCGGUUGUGGGCU
rnacentral:tRNA from 2 species